rnacentral:rRNA from 1 species
GAUGAACGCUGGCGGCGUGCUUAACACAUGCAAGUCGAACGAGAAGUGGAGACGGAAACCUUCGUGCGGAAGACUUUACUUCGAGUGGCGGACGGGAGAGUAACGCGUGGGUAACCUGCGUCAUACACGGGGAUAACAGUUGGAAACUACUGCUAAUACCGUACAAGACCACAGCACCGAAUGUUGCGGGGUUAAAAACUCAGGUGGUAUAGGAUGGACCAGCGUUCGAUCAGCCAGUUGGCGGGGUAACGGCGCACCAAAGCGACGAUCGAUAGACGGUCUGAGAGACAGACCGCCGACACUGGGACUGGGACGCAGCCCAGACUCUUACGGGAGGCAGGAGAGGCGAAUACUGCACAAUGGGGGAAGCCCUGAUGCAGCGACGCCGCGUGAGUGAAGAAGUAUUUCAAGAAGUGAAGCUCUAUCAGCAGGGAAGAAAAUGACAGUACCUGAGGAAGAAGCCCCGGCUAACUACGUG